rnacentral:rRNA from 1 species
UGCCUACGGGAGGCAGCAGUGGGGAAUAUUGGACAAUGGGGGAAACCCUGAUGCAGCGACGCCGCGUGAGCGAAGAAGUAUUUCGGUAUGUAAAGCUCUAUCAGCAGGGAAGAAGAAUGACGGUACCUGAGUAAGAAGCACCGGCUAAAUACGUGCCAGCAGCCGCGGUAAUACGUAUGGUGCAAGCGUUAUCCGGAUUUACUGGGUGUAAAGGGAGCGCAGGCGGUGCGGCAAGUCUGAUGUGAAAGCCCGGGGCUCAACCCAGGGACUGAAUUGGAAACUAGCGAACUAGAGUGUCGGAGAGG